rnacentral:rRNA from 1 species
CCUACGGGAGGCAGCAGUGAGGAAUAUUGGUCAAUGGACGAGAGUCUGAACCAGCCAAGUAGCGUGAAGGAUGACUGCCCUAUGGGUUGUAAACUUCUUUUAUAAAGGAAUAAAACGAGGCACGUGUGCCUUUUUGCAUGUACUUUAUGAAUAAGGAUCGGCUAACUCCGUGCCAGCAGCCGCGGUAAUACGGAGGAUCCGAGCGUUAUCCGGAUUUAUUGGGUUUAAAGGGUGCGCAGGCGGAAGAUCAAGUCAGCGGUAAAAUUGAGAGGCUCAACCUCUUCGAGCCGUUGAAACUGGUUUUCUUGAGUGAGCGAGAAGUAUGCGGAAUGCGUGGUGUAGCGGUGAAAUGCAUAGAUAUCACGCAGAACUCCGAUUGCGAAGGCAGCUUACUAAACUAUAACUGACACUGAAGCACGAAAGCGUGGGGAUCAAACAGGAUUAGAUACCCUUGUAGUC